rnacentral:rRNA from 1 species
UGCAUGUAUCACAUGAAUAAGGACCGGCUAAUUCCGUGCCAGCAGCCGCGGUAAUACGGAAGGUCCGGGCGUUAUCCGGAUUUAUUGGGUUUAAAGGGAGCGUAGGCGGCCUUUUAAGCGUGUUGUGAAAUGUCCCGGCUCAACCGUGGCACUGCAGCGCGAACUGGAGGGCUUGAGUGCGCCGGAAGUAGGCGGAAUUCGUUGUGUAGCGGUGAAAUGCUUAGAUAUGACGAAGAACUCCGAUUGCGAAGGCAGCUUACUGUCGCGUAACUGACGCUGAAGCUCGAAAGUGCGGGUAUCGAACAGGAUUAGAUACCCUG